CCUACGGGGGGCAGCAGUGAGGAAUAUUGGUCAAUGGGCGAGAGCCUGAACCAGCCAAGUCGCGUGAGGGAGUACUGCCCUAUGGGUUGUAAACCUCUUUUGUCGGGGAGCAAAAGCCGGACGUGUCCGGCUGUGAGAGUACCCGAAGAAAAAGCAUCGGCUAACUCCGUGCCAGCAGCCGCGGUAAUACGUAGGGGGCAAGCGUUAUCCGGAUUUACUGGGUGUAAAGGGAGCGCAGACGGCUGUGCAAGUCUGGAGUGAAAGGCGGGGGCCCAACCCCCGGACUGCUCUGGAAACUGUAAAGCGGGAGUGCAGGAGAGGUAAGCGGAAUUCGUAGUGUAGCGGUGAAAUGCGUAGAUAUUAGGAGGAACACCAGUGGCGAAGGCGGCUUACUGGACUGCAACUGACGUUGAGGCUCGAAAGCGUGGGGAGCAAACAGGAUUAGAUACCCCUGUAGUC
rnacentral:rRNA from 1 species